rnacentral:lncRNA from 1 species
AUGUAAUAGAACUUGUAGGUUGAGAUAAAGAUUAUUUACUAAGACAGAAAAGGAAAACAAAAACAUGACUUUAACUAUAUACAAAUAUCCUCAAAGCAAUUACUCACCAAACUGCCAAACAACAGACAGCCAAUCCCCACGUAGCAGGCUCUCUACCAGCCAACGCUACACAGCUUGGUGACCUUCCUUAUAACGUCACAGAAUAACCCCUUGCCUGACUUAGAACAACUGUCCUGGCUCUGCCUCUGCCCUGCCCCCUGCUGCAAUGCCACAAACGCAGCAACUCUUCUCCGCUGGGGUGCUUGGUUUGCCUCAGUACUAAGUGUGUUUUUAUUGCUCAUCAACAGCAGGAAUAGCUUCCUAUUAGCACUGUCUCGGCUGAAACCAGGACGAUAUCCACCUAUUAUUCUGUACCAUUUGCAUCAUGCUCAGUUUUUUGAAAUAUGAAGAACUUUAAUGUGCUGGAUGCUGACCACUAAAACUAUUGUAAAUAGAAGCAAGUAAAGAAUGAAUAUGUGGCUUUUAAUUAGACAUCAAAUUAGAAGUGAUAGCAAGGACACAGUCAUUUCAAGCAUCUCUUGAGAGAAGAACGCCAAUGAUCAAUACAGUUUUUCCUUUAUGAAGGGAAGCAGUGGAGGAAAAUCUUGGAUGAAGCCUCUCAGUCAACUGAGUUCUGGCAAUUACAAGACAGCCCAAGCACAGAGAAAACAACUGUGGUACACAGAAGACUGCGCAGCCAAACCACCUAUUAGCUGCAUAACAGGCAGCAACAGAGCAGUCUACUUACAGACCAUUAGUGUAUUGCUCUGUGGAAAAGUAUUGCUUCAGAAGAUUAAUUAAAAUGAAAUUUUGUGUAUUUAUGUAGAUAUAUAUAAUAUACAUACAAAGAUUAAAAAAUAGUAUAUGUUAAUAAAACACGUACGUGUAACA